rnacentral:rRNA from 1 species
UACGUAGGGUGCGAGCGUUAAUCGGAAUUACUGGGCGUAAAGCGUGCGCAGGCGGUUCGUUAAGUCAGAUGUGAAAGCCCCGGGCUCAACCUGGGAACUGCAUUUGAAACUGGCGGGCUUGAGUGUGGCAGAGGGGGGUGGAAUUCCGCGUGUAGCAGUGAAAUGCGUAGAGAUGCGGAGGAACACCGAUGGCGAAGGCAGCCCCCUGGGCCAACACUGACGCUCAGGCACGACAGCAUGGGGAGCGAACGGG